GUACUGAUGAAGAGUCCUUAACUAGGACGAAACAGCUGUCCAAUAC
rfam:Trichobilharzia regenti genome assembly, scaffold: TRE_scaffold0121106